rnacentral:rRNA from 1 species
GACAUAGGUGACGAACGUUAUCCGGAAUUAUUGGGCGUAAAGGAUGCGUAGAUGGUUCGAUAAGUUAUUGGUGGGAAAUCGAGGCCCAACCUCGUGGAAGCUGGUAAUACUGUCGAGCUUGAGUGCAGGAGAGGUUAACGGAACUUUAUGUGGAGCGGUAAAAUGCGUAGAUAUAUGGAAGAACAUCAAUAACGGCGAAGGCAGUUAACUAUUCUGUUACUGACGUUGAGGCACGAAAGCGUGGGGAGCAAAACGG